AGUCCCGGAUAUUUGCAGCAAGGGACGGGCUGAGGUUCCCAGGUAGGACGCCCCUAAAAGAUGCCUAGGAGAAGCAUUUAAAAAUGGAGGCGUUGAUGGGACUGCGUAGGAUCUCUGCCGCCGCCGGUCACCCUAAACUCCGGACUCUCCUCUUUUACGAUUUCGGGGCUCUUUCGCUCAGCUGCCUUUGAGUAGAUGUGGGUGCUGCUGCCGGGAGGGCCUUUGCUACUGAAUGGCGUGUGAGAAAAAGCUUGAAAAGAACGGAAUCACUUUCUUGGUCACUUCACUUCUUCUUCUCCCUCAAGGACAGCACAAAUGAACUCUAAUAACUCGUUUACUAUCGAGGUGUCAAGGCUCCUCGAUAAUAAACGGGGGAAACAGAAGAUUGGAGUGACCAGAUCUUGGCUGCCAAAAAUCAGGUUGACCACUAGAUGAUGGCAUAGAGUACAAGCAUCUCUAAUUCUUUCUUUGGGGGAGGGGAGCAAUCGCUCGGAUUUGUACAGCCCCAAUUUAAUAGCCUUAAAUAAGUUUUUUUUUUAAAAAAGUUCCUGAAUUCUUAUCUUAUCUAUUUUCGCAGGACCAAGUUUGGCUCACCACUAGGGCUGCGUUGGGAUGUUAGAAAGGCCUACUGCUGCAGUUGCCUAAACCAGGAACCGGAGACUUUUCAUCCCUUUCGGAAUAAGUAGGCCUUGUCUACCCGCAAGAAUUACUCUGAUUUGUUUAGCCUUAGAAGCAAGCAAAGGGAUCAAGGCCGCCACACGAGGCCCGCAGGAGGAAGAGAAGCCGACCACAGCAGCGAAGGGAAGAGGUAAACAGGCCUUGGAUUGCAGGCUGGGAUGAUUCAGAUUGACUUCCACGGAACUGCCCCCAGGAUCUAGCUUCCAAGAAUUCUUGUUGGCACUGGUCUCUAAACCAGAAAGCCUUGGCCGAACCUAAGAUGGAAUUACUAUAGGAAUCAAGUUGCAUUUGGACUGGCUCCAAAGAAUUCCAUCAGACAGUUUCAAUUUUGCCAGAAUGAACUUAAAAGCAUGAACUAAAGAAUCAAUCCUCUUGACCAGUCCUCUUGACUCUAGUUCAAGCAAAAGAAAAAGCCUUGCAAAUUCAACUUGAAGCUUCGUCACCAUUUCCUCAGUUGCUGAGAAUAGUCACAAUGCAAGAAAGGAAAUAAAGAAGGUCAGUGGCAGAAAGCCUUGCAAAAAUAACCCCUUGGACAAAACGGCUUUUUUUUUUCUUUCUUCCCCAUAAGUGACUGUCCUGACAAUGUCCUUCCAGGAAAUUUCGUUGGUUGGGACAAAAACUUCACAGGCAGCAAUACUUCAAAUUGGAAUCGGUCAAGAUGCCACACCAGAAACUGGUAAUUGUAACCUUUUCCUCUUCUAAAUAGUUACAGACAAUCUGUUCCAUAUGCUCAGCUUUUUUUUGGGGGGGGGGGGAAUCAGCAGUUGACACCAUAUUAAACAAAAAAAAGAGAGUCUAAACUGAAUUAAAAACAUUACAAUUUCCAAACUUGAUAUUUUGGGCCUUAGCAGCAAGACCAAAAUUAGAAAAUUUUGUUAUAUGUAAAAACAGGAUGAGAUGUGGAUAAAUUCUGAACAGCUUUCUUUAGUGCAAAACUAAAGCUUCCCCUUGUAUAUGGAACAAAACAGACAUUUAGUGAAUUUGCAAUAAAAAUGGGAAUCAGAAUAACAGCCUUCAGAGAUUCAGCAACCUAGCUGAAAGUUAAGUCAACACCAUGUUUCCUGAUAGCAGGAAAGCUUUAGAAACAAGUAGCAUGCUCAUUAUAUACAUAGUGAAGAAUAUUAAGAAAUGGAACCACUUUUCCUUGUCUAUGAAGAUACGGUUUUAUUAGACUACAAAACGUAAUUCUAAAUAAAUCAAACUUGAGCUCCAGCUGUACCUCAAAUUCAGCCUGUUGACAGUGUUUCUUCACUAGCAGUUUUUGCAGUAUAACUAAAAACGACAAUUAUAUUUCAUCAUGCCUGGUGAAGCUAUUUUAGCUAUUUUUAAUUAAAGGAAGAAUUGGGAAUGUCUAAACUUUUUGUUCCGGUUUUGAUCAAGAUGUAUUAUUUUUUUUCUACAUAUUUUAUUUGGGACAUUGCUAAUAGUUGGUUUCCAUUGAAAUAUUUCUGCUGAAUAAAGCUUUUAUGCUGAGGACACGAGCACAGGAUCGUUUCCUAUAAGUGAGAGCCAUAUGUGCAUGCACUCACACAUAUACAUUAUACACACACAUAUACAUACAUAUAUGUACACACACACACACACACAGAGCCACUGUUAUGAAAGUUUUAUUCAUUACUAUUAGGGCUUUCUAGUUCUUGCUCCCUUUUUUUAACAAGUAUCCAUUUUAUUUUACAACUUAACAUUUAUUUAUAAUAUUCAUAUUUUGUAUUGCCAACACUACAAAGACACCAUCAUUAAAAAAAAACCUCAUAAAAAUUAUAACUUAUAACCAACCACAAACCACACAUUACAACUUAACUCCAGCACUUAUAUUAAGUGACAAUGUUUCAACUCUUUAAAAGCCAAUUAAUAACAUUUUGAUUAAGGGGUUUGGGGAAGAGCCAUUUCCAUGGCCCUCCUGAAUACUAUCAUAGAAGGCACCAUUCAGAUCUCCAAAGUAAGGAUAGCAUGUACAUCCUCCUCCAAAUUAUGCUCCUGAUGUCAUAUGGCAAGUGGUACUUUCCACAUUUCCAUCUGGGAUGAAUGAACCAGGGUCAGUUCUAUGCACAAAGACUUACUGGAAGCUAAUCAGUAUUCCCCACAACUGGUGAUUAUAUUUUACUGGCAGCUUUCAUCGACUAGCAACUUUCCAUUUUGCAUCAACUUUGAGGCACUCGUCAAAGAUAGCCCCCGAUAGAACAAAUUGUAGCAUGCAGUAUUUUUCUUUUUGACAGCCCAUAUGCUGGCAUCAGCAAUACAAAAAGCCCUUCUCUCCAAGGUCAAGCGCAACCCAGAGCAUUAUCUUGCUAACAUGUGAUAAUAAAGUGAACACAUUUUUAGUGAUGGAAUUUUUAAGGGAAAUAAAACAGAGGAAGUUGUAGCAAAGCAAAACAAACAGGUCAAACACUCCCAAGUCUACUUCCUUAGUGGCAUUAUUGCAUAACUGGAUAUACUACAAUUAUAAGGCAAAUAUAUAUUAAAAAGUAUGCUUCCCAAAUGAAAAAGUAGACUCUUAUAGACAUGGCAAACUGUGAAAACUAAAUAAAUAAAAAUGCUUCAAUCCAUAACAUGUUUUCCGGGAAGACUUUUGACUUGGGACUGAUGAUUGAUUCCUAAUUGAUCCCUUCCUUGAGAUGGACCUCUGAAAAUUUGAUCUAGAAGGUUCCAGAAUCCUCUGAAUAUGUACAAGAUGCACAUGGGGAAGGGGGGAAAUUGAUAUAUCGUUCCUCUACACUUCAGAGAAUGCACUGUGCUUUGGCAAAAGCAGACUCUAUAUCCAAUUCAUUAUAUGUGUGUGUGUCUGUGUGUAUGCAUAUGCAUGUAUGUAUAUGUAUAUAUAUGUAUAUAAUAUAAAUAUAAUUUAUUUGAUAUAAGCUGUAUGCGCAAGAGUCCGAGAUUUGAAAAUACCAAUGUACAGUUAGUACAUUUAGUAAUCGAAAUUUCAAAUGGUCUCUUCUAAAGGAAUGCUUCUAGUUACAGCAUCAGAGCAAUUAUUUUUUUAAAAAAAUCUGAGAUUUGAAAUAAUCUGAAACUCUCAGGCAUUAUUGCUUUAUUUUAGUCUAAUUAAAUUAAGAACAGCACAAUGGUCACAGCAAUAUUAAUUUAUUAAAAACAUCCUCAGAGAUACCGACUGUUCAACUGUAUACUUCAUGAUCUUUCAUUCCGUACUUUAUGCAAGCAAAACAGGAGUCUGUUCAACCUAUGCCACAUACUGGAAACUUGAUACAAUUGAUGUUACAUAAAAACAAAACUAAAUGGGUUCCAUUGUUGUUGAUAUUUUGAUUUAAAUACUGGAAUAAGAAUAUUAACUAAGGAUGCUACAAGUCUAGAAGAAAUAGUACAUGACAAGGUUCAACCUACACGUGAAAAGGAAUUCAGGGAACUGCCGAAAACAAGCAAGAUGCAAGUGUCGCACCUUUUAGAAGGACUAGCAAUUACUUGGAAACUUAAUUUUUAUUUAAUCUUACAACAUUGGCAAAAAAGGUUACAAAAUUACUGUAAUGAACUUAUGCCCAGAAGUGCCUGUGAGUAUUUUCAGGAACAGUACCAAAUUAAGGGAUUACAGGAUCGUAAAAAUGGAGUACUCUUAAUAAGAUUGUUUUAAACUAUGUGGGCAAUUUUAUUUGCCCAUCAUGUUCAGGCUGGGGAUCCAAAAACUAUUAAACUAAUUACAAGACCAAAGCUGCCCUCACACAGAACUCCAUAACACUCCAUGGCAAUUGCUUUUGAAACUGAGACGUGUAUCAGUCCACAAUUUUAUUAUGUAAAGGAAACAUGAUAGUAACUAUCAAGGCCAAAAAGACAGUAAAUCCACAGCUGAAAUAACUGCCUCAUCAGUGUAAAACCAUCAUUAAACUAGCAAGAGCCACUUAACAGGACAAUAAUUUCAACCUGCAGUGUUAUCUUGGCUCUGAAAGUAUGAAAAAUGUUGGUGGACUUUAAUUCCAAUGUGUGCCUGAUUUGAGGAAAAUAAGUUUUAUUAGCACAAAAUAUACAUGCACUAAAAAAAUUUACUUAAACAUAUGAAUUUAAUAUUUCAUUUUAUUCAGCAAAUUGGUUUAUUUACACAAUUGGGAAUGCUGGUUGAAUUUUAUCAGUGGAAUAAAAACAAUUCUAGUAGAGACAAUACUGAACUCCCUUUACACAUCUCCAGCAACACUGACCAACUUUUUCCUUACCUGUAUCAGGAACAUCAAGCACAAUAGUGGAAUAGUAUCAAAAGACACUGGUAUAACAAACCACUGAGGAUCCAGUACACCGUGGGAAUUUACCAAUAUAUUUGCCAAACUUUUUUUUUUAAGUUAGCAAAAUAAAACCAGCUUUAAUAGUUAGCAUCAGAGUAUAACUCUGAGAUCAGCGGGUAGUAAAAACCUUAUCAGACCAUACAUAAUUAAUAAAGUGAUCUGAUCUGCAUCAAACCACUUUAUCACAGAAUCAAAAGAUAAGAAUAAAUUUAUUCUUUAAGACAAUGAUCUGAUAAGGAUUUAACUUAACAGACGUUAAAAUAAGAGAUGCAGAGCACAGCCCCUAUUAGAACAAGCUAACUU